UUGGUUUAUUUCAAUUUUUUUAACCCGAAUUGCUGUCUUUUUAAGAAGUCUCUGAAAUCGUCUCCCUUGACAGGGCAAGCAAAACGUGCCUUAAAUCUCCAUCUCGUGGAAGAUCUGCUUGGCUGGCAGCUGAUGUGUGUUGCUGUUGGGUUUUAAGGAACAUCUCUGUGUUGUACUUCUUUUGUUGUUUAGCUUUGAUUUAGUAUUUUUUUCCUUUUUCUCUUUGUUUUAUUUGAUUGGUUGUUUUUGGUCUUUUGCAUUUGGUUUUUCAAAGAGCUUUGGCAAACACCAGAGCCAUCAAGGCCAGGGCAGGCCCUCUCUCCUCCUUCUCUUACUGAUGCUCUUGACCUGAGUUCCUUGAGUGCUCCUCUGCGAUCUGCCAAGGUGCAAAAUUUGCAAAAUUAUCUCCUGCCUUUAAUCCCAGCUUUCUCCCACCUGUGGGAUGCUCCCUCCAGUUCUGUCUGAAGCUGAAAGGUGUCUCCACACCUUGGGCCUCUUUUCUCCUCCCAUGGAGGCCACCAGAGGAGAUCCAGGCAAUCCCCAGUGUGGCUCUUUGCCUCCCUCAAGUGACUGGCACCAACACCAACCUCUGUGCAGCUGCAGCACCUUCCUGCGACUCAGCUGCAGACUGGAGUAAUUUGCUGAUGCUGUACAAGGAAUUGUCUCUCCUGGAGUCCUGGCUGGUGUGAUCAGAACUCACAUAUGGUACCAGAACAAAGGGCCCUUC